AUUGAACGCUGGCGGCAUGCUUUACACAUGCAAGUCGAACGGUAACAGGGUGCUUGCACCGCUGACGAGUGGCGAACGGGUGAGUAAUGAGUCGGAACGUGCCGAGUAGUGGGGGUGAACGUAGCGAUAGUUGUCAUAAUAACGCAUACGUACUGAGGUAGAAAGUGGGGGACCAUCGGGCCUCACGCUAUUAGCGCGGCCGACGCCUGAUUAGCUAGUAGGUGAGGUAAAGGCUCACCUAGGCGACGAUCAGUAGCGGGUCUGAGAGGAUGAUCCGCCAUACUAGGACUGAGACACGACCCAGACUCCUACGGGAGGCAGCAGUGGGGAAUUUUGGACAAUGGGCGAAAGCCUGAUCCAGCCAUGCCGCGUGUCUGAAGAAGGCCUUCGGGUUGUAAAGGACUUUUGUCGGGGAGGAAAUCCCCAGCGUUAAUACCGCUGGGGGAUGACAGUACCUGAAGAAUAAGCACCGGCUAACUACGUGCCAGCCGCCGCAGUAAGAU
rnacentral:rRNA from 1 species